rnacentral:rRNA from 1 species
UACGUAGGUGGCAAGCGUUGUCCGGAAUUAUUGGGCGUAAAGAGCUCGUAGGCGGUGUGUCGCGUCGGCCGUGAAAACCUGCAGCUUAACUGUGGGCUUGCGGUCGAUACGGGCAUCACUGGAGUUCGGCAGGGGAGACUGGAAUUCCUGGUGUAGCGGUGAAAUGCGCAGAUAUCAGGAGGAACACCGGUGGCGAAGGCGGGUCUCUGAGCCGAUACUGACGCUGAGGAGCGAAAGCGUGGGGAGCGAACAGG